GCCAGCGUAGCUCAGAGGUAGAGCACUCGUUUCAUAAGCGAAUGGCCAGAGGUUCGAUUCCUCUCGCUGGCA
rnacentral:tRNA from 2 species